rnacentral:sRNA from 1 species
AAAGCAAUGAAAUAUCUUUGAUGCCG